CUAUAAUACAUAUGGACAGAUAUUAUGCAAGCUUAAGAUAUAAUGCGAUUUUAUCGACUAAAAAAAGAUAAGGUCAGCAUAAAUAUAGGGGUACCUAUCCACUAACUUGCAAAAUACGUUUUUACUGAGCAAAUAUUAGAAUUAAUUAGUGCAAAUUUACAAAAUAUCUAUAUACAUAUUGUACUUAACACUAAAAGUAGUAUGAAUCAUGAUUUCGCAGUUAGUAACCUACAGACUAGUUGUAAAAAUGACGUAUUUUGCAGUUAAAAAUCUUUUAUAAUCUCUAAUACGUUAUGGGUAUGGGGAAUAUAUUACUACACUACAUAUGUGGUGCGAAAAUAUUUGCCUUCGUAUUGUUACGGACGUACGAACGUGUCAUGCUAUUUCAGUCAGUCUCAGUACCUACAAGACGUACUGACGUCGACUGAACUAGCAUGACAAAUACGAACGUUGCCGGAAAAAUACGAAGGAAACCCUUUUCGCACUACACACACUUUUUGUAUACAUUUAUUAAUGUUGACAGAAGUCUAAGGGUCGAUUGCACCAAAAUGUCACCGUCAAAACGUUCGCUUAAUUGUAUUGUAUGGAAAGUUCCACAGACCUCUAAUGCGUGACGUCGAUGUGUCUGCUCUGUGUUUGACUAAUGAUGUGCAAGUUGCGGAAACUUGCCAAAAAAAUCUUACAUUUCUUGAAAAAUUCACGAAACUUUCACGAAAAAUAAAAGGUAUUUAAAAUUAUGAAAUGGAAAGUUUCCAUCCA